rnacentral:rRNA from 1 species
CAUGGUUGUCGUCAGCUCGUGUCGUGAGAUGUUGGGUUAAGUCCCGCAACGAGCGCAACCCCUACGUUUAGUUGCUAACGCGUGAAGGCGAGCACUCUAGACGAACUGCCGUUGACAAAACGGAGGAAGGUGGGGAUGACGUCAAAUCAUCAUGCCCCUUAUGUUCUGGGCUACACACGUGCUACAAUGGCCGGUACAGACGGACGCAAAGCCGCGAGGUGGAGCAAAUCCUAAAAAGCCGGUCUCAGUUCGGAUUGCAGGCUGCAAUUCGCCUGCAUGAAGUCGGAAUCGCUAGUAAUCGCAGGUCAGCAUACUGCGGUGAAUACGUUCCCGGGCCUU